rnacentral:rRNA from 1 species
GACGAACGCUGGCGGCGUGCCUAAUACAUGCAAGUCGAGCGAGACUCUUCGGAGUCUAGCGGCGGACGGGUGAGUAACACGUGGGCAACCUGCCUGUAAGACUGGGAUAACACCGGGAAACCGGUGCUAAUACCGGAUAAUCCUUUUCCUCUCAUGAGGAAAAGCUGAAAGUCGGUUUCGGCUGACACUUACAGAUGGGCCCGCGGCGCAUUGGCUAGUUGGUGAGGUAACGGCGCACCAAGGCGACGAUGCGGAGCCGACCUGAGAGGGUGAUCGGCCACACUGGGGCUGGGACACGGGCCAGACUCCUACGGGAGGCAGCAGUAGGGAAUCUUCCACAAUGGACGAAAGUCUGAUGGGGCAACGCCGCGUGAGCGGUGAAGGCCUUCGGGUCGUAAAGCUCUGUUGUUAGGGAAGAACAAGUACCGGAGUAACUGCCGGUACCUUGACGGUACCUAACCAGAAAGCCACGGCUAACUACGUGCCAGCGGCCGCCGUAAAAC